rnacentral:tRNA from 1 species
AGUUUAUAAGCUAUAAAGCAUAUAUUUUGAAAAUAUAAGAUAAAGAUUAAUAAUCUUUAUAAACUU